rnacentral:rRNA from 1 species
CACGUAGGCACCAAGCGUUGUCCGGAUUUAUUGGGCGUAAAGAGCUCGUAGGCGGUUCAGUAAGUCGGGUGUGAAAACUCUGGGCUUAACCCAGAGCCGCCACUCGAUACUGCUGUGACUUGAGUUCGGUAGGGGAGCAGGGAAUUCCUAGUGUAGCGGUGAAAUGCGCAGAUAUCAGGAGGAACACCGGUGGCGAAGGCGGGACUCUGGGCCGAUACUGACGCUGAGGCACGAAAGCGUGGGGAGCAAACAGG